UACGAAGGGUGCAAGCGUUAUCCGGAUUCACUGGGUUUAAAGGGUGCGUAGGCGGGCAGAUAAGUCAGUGGUGAAAUACCUGAGCUUAACUUGGGAACUGCCAUUGAUACUAUUUGUCUUGAAUGUUGUGGAGGUUAGCGGAAUAUGUCAUGUAGCGGUGAAAUGCUUAGAGAUGACAUAGAACACCUAUUGCGAAGGCAGCUAACUACGCAAAUAUUGACGCUGAGGCACGAAAGCGUGGGGAUCAAACAGG
rnacentral:rRNA from 1 species